rnacentral:SRP_RNA from 1 species
CCGAGCAGCCGGGGUGGUAGCGGUGCCUUGAACCAACAAUCCGCUAUAGUUGGGGUGAUGUUUGGCAGAGGGUUAUGCUGGUAAAGCAGCCCCGUACAGACGGCGUUGACGCCUGGGUCUUACGCAAUGAGAAUUCCCGAACCGGGUCAGGGUGGGAACACAGCAGCCCUAAGGGAAACCUUUCAUGUGUCGUAGGGGUGCCUGGGGGGAGUUGGCUGUACAGGUAGCGUUUAUUGGUCAAAUUCGAAGUCAAACGCUCGG